UGAGGAAUAUUGGUCAAUGGGCGGAAGCCUGAACCAGCCAUGCCGCGUGAAGGAUGAAGGCGUUCUGCGUUGUAAACUUCUUUUAUCGGGGAAGAAACCUCAUUUUUCUAAAUGAGCCGACGGUACCCGAGGAAUAAGCACCGGCUAACUCCGUGCCAGCAGCCGCGGUAAUACGGAGGGUGCAAGCGUUAUCCGGAUUUACUGGGUUUAAAGGGUGUGUAGGCGGGCCAUUAAGUCAGGGGUGAAAUCCCGGAGCUCAACUCCGGAACUGCCUUUGAUACUAUUGGUCUUGAAUAUUGUUGAGGUGGGCGGAACGGGUCAUGUAGCGGUGAAAUGCAUAGAUAUGACCCGGAACACCGAUUGCGAAGGCAGCCCGCUAAGCAAUGAUUGACGCUGAGGCACGAAAGCGUGGGGAUCAAACAGGAUUAGAUACCCCCGUAGUCC
rnacentral:rRNA from 1 species